CUUAGGUAGUUCUACAUUAUAAUGUAAUUAUACUGUACUGCACAGUUUAUCAUAACCCAAAUUAUCUUUAUUUUUCAGUCCUGAGAAACGCUUUACAGCGAUUAUGUCCCUCAUGUAAUAUUAUCGUGAACAUUAAUCAACAUGUCUGCAAGUGUGGCUGUAGGCUUUUUGAUGUCAAACGUAAAGCUCAGCCGGAAAGCCAGGCUCAGGCAAAUAUCAAGAGAUCAGAAAAGAAAAAACAUAUACCUGUUGUACAUGGCACACCAUCAAAUCCUUUCCCUUGCAGUCAUGAAGUAAUGAAGCCUCCAGUUUCUGUUGUAGACGUUAUACCCCAAAAUAUCAAUGAGUCUCCCGGUGCUGCUGCUGUUGAAGUGUUACCUGAAAACUUUGAUG